GAUGAACGCUGGCGGCGUGCUUAACACAUGCAAGUCGAACGAGGAAUAAUUGAUGAAGUUUUCGGAUGGAUUUAGUUAUUCCGAGUGGCGGACGGGUGAGUAACGCGUGGGUAACCUGCCCCAUACAGGGGGACAACAGAGGGAAACUUCUGCUAAUACCGCAUAAGUGGAUCGGAUGGCAUCGUCCGGUCCGGAAAGCUCCGGCGGUAUGGGAUGGGCCCGCGUUGGAUUAGGCAGUUGGCGGGGUAACGGCCCACCAAACCGACGAUCCAUAGCCGACCUGAGAGGGUGACCGGCCACAUUGGGACUGAGACACGGCCCAGACUCC
rnacentral:rRNA from 1 species